rnacentral:rRNA from 1 species
UACGGAGGGGGCUAGCGUUGUUCGGAAUUACUGGGCGUAAAGCGCACGUAGGCGGAUUGCUAAGUCAGGGGUGAAAUCCUGGAGCUCAACUCCAGAACUGCCUUUGAUACUGGCGAUCUUGAGUCCGGGAGAGGUGAGUGGAACUGCGAGUGUAGAGGUGAAAUUCGUAGAUAUUCGCAAGAACACCAGUGGCGAAGGCGGCUCACUGGCCCGGUACUGACGCUGAGGUGCGAAAGCGUGGGGAGCAAACAGGG